CCGCCGCGGUAACCCAGCGCCCCAAGUGGCAACCGCGAUUAUUGGGCCUAAAGCGUUCGUAGCCGGCUGAGUGAAUCUUUUGUGAAAUUGUCAAGCUUAACUUGAUAGCGCGCAGGAGAGACUGCUCAGCUAGGGACCGGGAGGAGUUAGAAGUAUUCCGGGGGGAGCGGUAAAAUGUUAUAAUCCUCGGAAGACUACCUGUGGCGAAAGCGUCUAACCAGAACGGAUCCGACGGUCAGGAACGAAAGCCAGGGGAGCAAAACGGAUUAGAUACCCGAGUAGCCCUGGCUGUAAACUCUGUAAGCAAGGUGUUGCAUAUUCUACAUGAAUGUGCAGUACCGAAACGAAGGUGUUAAGCUCACCGCCUGGGAAGUACGGUCGCAAGACUGAAACUUAAAGGAAUUGGCGGGGGAGCACUACAAGGGGUGCGGCGUGCGGUUUAAUCUAAUUCCACACAGAGAAUCUCACCAGGAGCGACGGCAGAAUGAAAGUCAUGCUGAAGACAUUACUUGACGAGCCGAGAGGUAGUGCAUGGCCGCCGUCAGCUCGUGCCGUAAGGUGUCCUGUUAAGUCAGGCAACGAGCAAGACCUGUAUCCACAAUUGCUAUCGGAUCCUCUAGGAUGACUGGGCACUUUGUGGGGACUGCCUCGGAAACGAGGAGGAAGGCUCAGAACCGAGGAGGAAGGUGCAGGCAACGGUAGGUCUGUAUGCUCCGAAUCUCCUGGGCUACACGCGCGCAACAAUGGUAGGGACAAUGGGAUACGACUCCGAAAGGAGAAGUUAAUCCUCGAAACCCUAUCCAAGUCCGGAUGAGGAUGUAACUCAUCCUCGAGGGGAUGGAUCCCUAGUAAUGAGACGUCAUCAGCGUCCCGUGAAUAUGUCCCUGCUC
rnacentral:rRNA from 1 species